CCACUGUUCUCCUCCCUCAGUUCACCUGGGUCAUCUGGUUUGGUCAUCUUCGGACACAACUCCUCCGAGCUCCAUCGGACACGGCUCCUCCGAGCUCCCUCUGCACAAGCGCUGCUAUUCAGGGGCUUGGUUUUGCAGGAUUUUCUAUAACGAAGGACUUUGGAUUUUGAUUGAUUUAUUGAGGUAUUUUCUCUUCAAAUGUGUUUAUUCUCUGUAUUUAGGAUUGUUUAUUUUGGUUUUUUUUUCAUUAUGUGCUAUAAGUUGAAGAGAAUACAUGUUUCAACUGAAUUUUUGUAAAACUUUAAUGUAUGUAGAAAAAUAUAUG